AAGUUAGCCAAUUUUAAUAUAGGAUAUCAUUAUAUGACACCUAUAAGCUUGAGCCUUGGAAUCAAGAUAAAUUCUAUCACAAUCCCCUCUUUUGAUCCAAGGGUCACCCAAAUGUCCAAGGUAUAUCCAGGCCUGCUAGCCAAAGCCUGUGGGACUGAGAGACCACCAGAAUCAGCAGAGGAGAGUUCCUUCAUUUGUUAGGCGAGGUAACAUCAUAAAACCUUUCCGACGUCGGAGCUGGAAUGUAAGUUAAGGUACGACCAACAGUAGGUUUGCUUUUACAUAGAGAGGUUAGUAGACAUGAAAAAAAUCUAAAGGUUAGAAAAAUAGCCAUAAUGACAAAUACAGCUAAUAGCAAAAAGUACAAAAUCUUCAAAUGUCCAAUCCCAAUCCCCAAAUAAGCCAGUAUCUUGUUUGAUAUCCUGUACUAAGUCAUGUAAAUCUUUUAUAUGUUUAUGGAUCAUAGUGCCAUGGUCAGAUAGGUUAAAACAGCACAUACCUUCUAUAGCUUCACAGCCUAAGUCAUGUUUCAUUAGUAAGUAGUCAAUGGCUGCUAUGUUCUCAAGGAUUGCCUUCUUAUUUGCCUGGCUGUCCAUAAGUAGCUCUUCUAGGGCCUGUGAAGUGGCAUUUAAACCUUUUGCAAGGGAACAGGCUACAGCAUUAAUUACUCAGGUAGAUAUUUAUGGGAUCUAUGGGUAUGUAGGUACUUCCUCAAGAGUGAGAUGGGGGUAGGGACAGCUAUAAGACAAGAUUCUAUGACGUUUUCAGUACUAAGGAGAGGGUUGAGGCAAAAGGAGGUUAAAUUAAAAGCCUUUGCUAUCUACAAUUAUAUAUGUCCCUGCUAUGCAUUAUUAUCUUCUGGUCUCAAGUCAGAGUAGCAUAUCUGAACAGAGCAUACAAUGGUAAAGGAUAAGAACAGCUUCAUGUCGGUGGAUCAGUCGGAGUGACUUGUUUACAGUGACUGGCGUGUAUCCACAUGGCUUUUCCUUCUAGUUUCACUGAGGUAGCCGUAGUCAAGAGCACUUGGAAUGGACCGUCAAAGCGUGGUUCAAGUCUGCCUAAUCUUUGGUGUAGGGCCUGAACAUAGGCAGUCAUACUACCAUGCUGCAUCUGGAGGGUUUGGGGAAAAUAGAGGCCUGUCUUUGGGGCACAUCCAAACAGGAUAUCAAAAGGGGAUAAGCCAUGUCUGGAAUUGGGGGGUGAAUCUCAUAGAAAAGAGUGCUAGGGAGGGGGCGUGGCGAACCGCCGAGCAAGAUGGCCGCGUGAAUCUUUGCUCCGGCACAUGGGCUCCACAACAUCACCGUAUUACAGGAACAGCACAAAUAAACCGACGAUUCUCACCAGCGGGCACGAGAUGUCACAAUUCAAGCCUAAGAAAUCUGCCACUAAAGCGGACAAAAAUAUUUUUUUCGGCCAGAAAGGGCUCACAGCAUCUGAAAACACCUGCGGCUGCCUAUGCAAGAUGGCGCCGAAAGCUACAGCAUGGAGUACACUCCACAAGCGGCAGAAACACUUUCCCCACAAGACAGCCUCACAAGAGACUACUUUGAAAAAGCCAUGGAAGUCAUGGCAAAUAAAUUAAUACAUACCUGGCAAUCCACAGCGGACCAAAUUAAGCAAGAGGUAAGGGAUCUUUCCUCCAGAACCUCACGGGUGGAACAACAGUGCCAAAACAUUACCUCACAGCAAACAACAGCAAAAGACGUCCUAAACAACCUGCAGAAACAAAUGGAGGCGGUGGAAGCACGCAUGGCAGACUAUGAAGACCGGGCAAGACGAAACAACCUGCGGCUGCGAGGGGUCCCAGAGUCCGUCCUUCCAGAAGACCUACAGGUCUAUGUGAGAGGCCUCCUCAAUACCUACGCCCCGGGCAUACCGGCUGAUAUGCUCCUGGUUGACAGAGUUCACAGGGUGCCAAAGCCCAAGUACCUACCUGAUACUACCCCUAGAGACGUCCUCUUGCGGGCACACUACUUCCACAUUAAAGAAGUAGUCCUCAAAACACACCGCAGCAAGCCAGCUCCACAUGAGAAUUACCCCACGGUGCGCAUAAUGGCGGACCUCUCCGCGGCAACACUCAGACGACGACGGGAGUUCCAGCAAGUCACUGCUGCACUUCAAAAGCAGGGGAUUCGAUUUAGAUGGGGCUACCCGACGAAAAUCAUCCUCACACACCAAGGAGAAACGAAAUUCCUCUCCACCCCAGAAGAGGGUCUAAAAGCACUAACAGCCUGGGGUAUACCUACCUCAACAGGGAAAGGGCCGCAACCCACCACUAGGCAAUCCCGCAGAACCCAGGAAGACUAGACGACCGGAGUGGCACAGAGCCAUGUCCGCUUUUGAAUGAUCGGCGACAGAUACUAUGCUAUGGACCUGCACGAUAAGUAUCCCCACAAAUGACAUUAGUCAACCUGAUUGUUAUACCAAAAGGGAGACAAAAAAAAAAAAAAAAAAACUCCCCAAAGGUUAAUCAAAAUGUUAAAUUAUCAUUACUACUUUGUUAAAUCAACAAAAUGUCAAACGUCAAUGUGGGACGGAUGUCCCUCCUAAAUAAGCAUGGGGCGGCUCGCGCAGCGCUCCCGCCGACU